rnacentral:rRNA from 1 species
CUACAAGCCGUGAGAGCCUUAUCCACUUCGGUGGAGGGGUGAUUGCGUGCCUUUUGAAGAAUGAGCCUGCGAGUUAGCGGUACGUGGCGAGGUUAACCCGUGUGGGGUAGCCGUAGCGAAAGCGAGUCCGAACAGGGCGACAUAGUCGCGUGCCCUAGACCCGAAGCCGAGUGAUCUACCCAUGGCCAGGUUGAAGCGCGGGUAAGACCGCGUGGAGGACCGAACCCACCAGGGUUGAAAACCUGGGGGAUGAGCUGUGGGUAGGGGUGAAAGGCCAAUCAAACUCGGUGAUAGCUGGUUCUCCCCGAAAUGCAUUUAGGUGCAGCGUCACGUGUUUCUUGCCGGAGGUAGAGCACUGGAUGGCCGAUGGGCCCCACAAGGUUACUGACGUCAACCAAACUCCGAAUGCCGGUAAGUGAGAGCGUGGCAGUGAGACUGCGGGCGAUAAGGUUCGUAGUCGAGAGGGAAACAGCCCAGAUCAUCGGCUAAGGCCCCUAAGCGUGUGCUAAGUGGAAAAGGAUGUGGGAUCGCAGAGACAACCAGGAGGUUGGCUUAGAAGCAGCCACCCUUGAAAGAGUGCGUAAUAGCUCACUGG